rnacentral:rRNA from 1 species
GACGAACGCUGGCGGCGUGCUUAACACAUGCAAGUCGAACGGAAAGGCCUGCUUUCCCUUGUGGAUUGCGGGUACUCGAGUGGCGAACGGGUGAGUAACACGUGAGUGAUCUGCCCCCAACUUGGGUAUAAGCCUGGGAAACUGGGUCUAAUUCCCGAUAGGACUGCAGGGUGGUGCCUGUGGUGGAAAACGAUUUUCUAGUGGUUGGGGAUGAGCUCGCGGCCUAUCAGCUUGUUGGUGGGGUAAUGGCCUACCAAGGGGGCGACGGGUAGCCGGCCUGAGAGGGUGGACGGCCACAUUGGGACUGAGAUACGGCCCAGACUCCGACGGGAGGCAGCAGUGGGGAAUAGUGCACAAUGGGCGGAAGCCUGAUGCAGCGACGCCGCGUGGGGGAUGACGGCCUUCGGGUUGUAAACUCCUUUCGACCGCGAGGAAGCCACCUGGUUGGAAGGGUGGUGACGGUAGUGGUAGAAGAAGCACCGGCUAACUACGUG